rnacentral:lncRNA from 1 species
CUGAAAAAUCCAAUUAAAGUGCCUUGGAGUAAACAAAAUAAUUUUAAGUAUUUCUAAAAAUUUUCUCUUUGAAUUAAAUUAAAAAAUCAAGUUAAGGUUGCAAUUCAAUGAGUACCAAAUGGGAUGCGGUAUAGCGUAAUAAUACGCUCCAAUAGGAGAGUAGGGGGACAAAAUACUAAACUAAAAAUUAGCCGUAUACGAGAAAAAAAGCCGGCAAAACGACGUGAUUGGGCGGCUUGCUUCAAAGCCACGCGAUGCCACGUCACCAGGACAAAACAUGAACGAACAAAGUGGCAACCCUCUCUCUCUCUCUCUUGGACCGGGCGGCGCAUCCUUUCAUCAGUCAAGCCCCUUGUUGACUGCCGCCACACUACACAUUAUCCAGAACCCGAACUAAUAAAUUAACUUGGCAAACCUGUUCUUGAUCAAUAAUUUACUUUGUACCCUAUACUAAUAAUUAUAUCAUUUAAAUUUUAACACUUUUAAGUGGACGGACUUUAAGGAGUUGGCUAACACAGUUAUGUGAAAAAAUUUACACUCUUCUUUGUUCCGUUUUGUAGAAUAGUUUUGAUAAAUUUUAUUUGGUAUAAUAUUUUGAAUUAAAGUUUUUGGAAUGUUUCAAAAAAAGAAUGCAUUUUUUGAGAAACAAUAAAUUUAAAAAUGUCUUAUAAAUUUUUUAAAAAUUAUUUUUCUUCUUAAAAAAUGAAUAGUAGAUGAAACACUAUGAUUUUUUUUGUUCUCAAAAAUAAUUUUAGAAAAAGUCUUGUGCGAUGUUAAUCUGAACACUAAACUAGACAGGUUUAAAUUCUCAUAUUCUAUUGAUAACAAAUUUAUCUUUCUUUUCAACAACUGAAGUGCAUUUAUAUUCACGCAUAUGGGGGAUUAUUCAAUUGCAUUUAAUAAAAGUUAACAUGUGCACACACAUUGAAUAAUUAGCUACAAACUCAAACUCUGGGAGUUUGAGGACGUAUCUACUCCAUAAAUCCUAACAUCUCCUUGAUUUUCUUCAAUUGAUUUUAAUUUCAACAAAAUUUAUUUAUACUAUUGAUAAUCUAAUUUAGAUAAAAUACAUAUUAAAUUGCAUAAUUGUUGGCCAAAUUUACUUUUAUGUAUGAGUGAACCCACAUGUUCUAUAACCAAAUUUGAUAAUUGUUCUAAAAAAAUCAUUUUCAAAGUUUUUUUUUUAGAGUGCAUUUAUUUUUUUAUAUUUCAAGGUUCAAACUCUUCAAGUGGUGUUACAUGAAUGAGUUUUUUUUACAAAUUUUAUAAAUUUUAUAUACAAUUUGCUAGAUUUUUUUCGAAACAACACGGUUCAAGUGAUGUUUGUCAAUAACCCACUCAGAUCCAUUUAGAUACAUGAAUUUACAAUCUAAAGAUUUUAAAUUUCUUAUUUAAAUAUGCCGUUUGGGAGGUGAUAAAUAAACGAAAUAAUUUUAAAUUAAUGUAAUUUCCUCCUUAUAAUUUUAAGAGCAAAAAUAAAAUUUUUUAAAAUCACUUUUAAAUAAGAGUUAUUUGACAAUCCCUCCCUAUCCCCUCUCCCCUCCACCACAUCCCAUCCAUCUCAACUUUGCCUUCAACAGUUCAUUUCACGCUCAUCUUCUCUCCCCCAUUCCCCCUCUCUCUUUUCCCUUUAUUCUCUUUCUCACUCUCCGUCCCUUAUCUCUCUCAGCACCAAAGUAUGUUUUACUGAAAUCUAUGCAAUUGAAUCUUUAAAAAAAUACAUCCAAAUAGAAGAUUUGAAUCAAAAAAUUUAAUUCUUUGAAUUCGAAAUCCAUUUAAUUUCAUCCAUAUUUUGGUAAAACUACAUCUAACAAAUAGAGUCAAAAUCCAAUGUCACCAUGUGGCCCUUCAAGUCAAAUGUCACCAUGGUCCCUUCUGCAAACGUUCAAUAAAGGUUUCAUAUGCCAUGUAAAAGUCUCCUUCCAUUAGGUUAUAACGACCUCUUUUUUUAUAUUCUUAAUGAAGAUGACGGACGAAUGGAUUAUAUUGAUACCUAAACCUACAGUUUAAGAUUAUAUUGGGCACAAUUAAAAGUAAAUAGGUCACAAAAAUAUUUUGGAAAGUACAAAGGACACAAAUGGGUUUUCACAACCCCACGCCCCCCUAGAGCCCCACCUUCCCUGCACCCAACCAACCCUCUCCUUAUAAAUUGUCCCUCACCCCUUCUUCAAGGCUAAAACCCAACUAACUUACAACGCCUAAGAGAAGAGAACUUCGAGUCUAGUUCGAACAUUAUUGGCUCGAAGGGGAAAUUGACGGCAAGGCUAACACGGCAUCAAGGAGGCGCCUUACAGGGGAGGAGGAAGAGGCCGUGGGGCUGUACGCGGCGGAGCAGUCCCGAGACCCCGUCAAGAAGAGCCGCGUCUGGCUCGGCACCUUCGACAAAACUGCGGAGCGGCCGCCAUGGCCUACGACGCUGCCGCCAUAGGCUUCCGCGGACCCAAAGGCCAACCAAUUUCCCUUUCCCCUCCUAAAACAACCACACAGCCCGAGUCAGAGCAGCACGUAGAGUCGUCGAGCCUCGACGGUCCCUCCCGCGUCGCCGCAUGACUCGACUCACGCGCCGCAUCGGCGGCGUGUCUGUCGCCGGGUUUCGUUUUUCUCCAUUGCCAGGUGGCGGGUGGCUGCGCUCCCCGCCCCCACUCGCAUUCCUUCCGUUUUGUUUUUUUGCACCACGUUCGCCGCCGAGUUGGAGGGGGGACUCGGAGGUGGGGACCUCAGUGAGUCCUGGACUCGUCCUCCUGUGGUUUGAUUGUGGCCCACGUGAGGCAAUAUGGAAAAAGAGGUCUUGAUUUUGAUCUUACUAACUUCCCACCGCCCUUGGACUCUUGACAUGUCGACGAUCUAAUGAAGAGAGAGAGAGAGUAGAGAGAAGAGAGAGGAUGCUAAGAUCUGUGUACAUAUGUUUAGGAAUUUAAUUUUUGCAACUAAAAUUAGAGUUGUUUUAGACUUUCCGUUGGUUAAUUGUAAUCUCUCACCCUUUCUUUGAUUAUAAUGUCAAAAUAAAUUCAUUAUACCAUUAAUUCGUAAUUUUUAAUCUUUCUUUCUUUCACUCUAAUUUUUAAUUUAUCGAUCUUCUGUCAUGGUUGGAGAACUGAAAAAAUCCAAUUAAGUGCCUUGAAGUAAAACAAAAUAAUUUUAAGUAUUUCUAAAAAUUUUCUCUUUGAAUUUAAAUUAAAAAAUCAAUUUAAGGUUGCAAAUCAAUGAGUACCAAAUGGGAUAUGCGGUAUAGCUGUGACUAAUACGCUCCAAAUAGGAGAGUAGGGGGGAAAAAAUACUAAACUAAAUUAGCCGUCUACGAGAAAAGCCGGCAAAACGACGUGCUUGGGCGGCUUGCCUUCAAAGCCACCGCGUGCCACGUCAUCCACGGACAAAACUAUGAAUCGAACAAGUGUCACCCUCUCUCUCUCUCUCUUGACCGGGCGGCGCCAUCCUUUCAUCAGUCAAUCCCCUUGUUGACUGCCGCCCACACUACACAUUAUCCCAGCACCCGAACCUAAUAAAUUACACUUGGCAACCUUGUUCUUUUAUCAAUAAUUUACUUUGUACCCUCUACUUAUAAUUAUAUCAUUUAAAUUUUAACACUUUUAAGUGACGACUUUAAGGAUUUUGGCUAACACCAGUUAUGUGAAAAAAUUUACACUCUUCUUUG